GUUGGCCAGGACUCCUUCCCGAGGUGGACGGCUCCCUGCUCUCAUUCCUGGCUCUGCCAGGACUGUAGAAGUGCGCAGUACACUUUAGGGCAUGCAUGGCACUCCGUGGGAGACAGUGCUUUAGGGCUAGAGGAAAGAUCUCCCCUGAAGGCAAACGCCCGCGGAGCCCACAAGUCCGGGCCGCACUGAACAAGUCAGGAUGUUGCCAUCGGCAAUUCUGCAGAAGGCAGGAACCCAUCAGAGAGAGAGCCUCUGUCAUAAGGGCCCUUCUAGCCCAAUCCAGAGCUGUGCCAUGGCAGAGACAAGAGAAGAGGAGACAGUGUCAGCAGAAGCCUCAGGGUUCUCAGACUUGAGUGACUCAGAGUUCCUGG
rnacentral:sRNA from 1 species